ACGAACGCUGGCGGCGUGCUUAACACCUGCCAGUCGCACGCUGAAGCUCAGCUUGCUGGGUGGAUGAGUGGCGAACGGGUGAGUAACACGUGAGUAACCUGCCCUCUUCUUUGGGAUAACGCCCGGAAACGGGUGCUAAUACUGGAUAUUCACUGAUUCUCGCAUGGGGGUUGGUGGAAAGGUUUUUUCUGGUGGGGGAUGGGCUCGCGGCCUAUCAGCUUGUUGGUGGGGUGAUGGCCUACCAAGGCUUUGACGGGUAGCCGGCCUGAGAGGGUGACCGGUCACAUUGGGACUGAGAUACGGCCCAGACUCCUACGGGAGGCAGCAGUGGGGAAUAUUGCACAAUGGGCGAAAGCCUGAUGCAGCGACGCCGCGUGAGGGAUGGAGGCCUUCGGGUUGUAAACCUCUUUCGCUCAUGGUCAAGCCGCAGCUUUGGGUUGUGGUGAGGGUAGUGGGUAAAGAAGCGCCGGCUAACUACGUG
rnacentral:rRNA from 1 species